GACGAACGCUGGCGGCGUGCUUAACACAUGCAAGUCGAACGGGAUCUGAUGAUGCUUUUGUGUUGUUGGUGAGAGUGGCGAACGGGUGAGUAACACGUGAGUAACCUGCCCUGGACUUUGGGAUAGCAUUCGGAAACAGGUGGUAAUACUGGAUAUUCUGCUUGGGUCGCAUGAUUCUUGUGGGAAAGGUUUUUCUGGUUUGGGAUGGGCUCGCGGCCUAUCAGUUUGUUGGUGGGGUGAUGGCCUACCAAGGCUUUGACGGGUAGCCGGCCUGAGAGGGUGGGCGGUCACACUGGGACUGAGAUACGGCCCAGACUCCUGCGGGAGGCAGCAGUGGGGGAUAUUGCACAAUGGACGGAAGUCUGAUGCAGCGACGCCGCGUGGGGGAUGACGGCCUUCGGGUUGUAAACCUCUUUCGCUUAUGGAAAAGGCACUGCUGUGGGUGGUGUUGAUGGUAGUGGGUGAAGAAGUACCGGCUAACUACGUGCCAGCAGCCGCGGUAAUACGUAGGGUACUAGCGUUGUCCGGAAUUAUUGGGCGUAAAGGGCUUGUAGGUGGUUGGUUGCGUCUGUCGUGAAAACCUGUGGCUUAACCAUGGGCUUGCGG
rnacentral:rRNA from 1 species